rnacentral:piRNA from 1 species
UAGUUGUAGCUAGGAGGACUGUCGUC